UAUUGGGCAAUGGGCGCAAGCCUGACCCAGCAACGCCGCGUGAAGGAAGAAGGCUUUCGGGGUGUAAACUUCUUUUCUCAGGGACGAAGCAAGUGACGGUAUCUGAGGAAUAAGCCACGGCUAACUACGUGCCAGCAGCCGCGGUAAUACGUAGGUGGCAAGCGUUGUUCGGAUUUACUGGGUGUAAAGGGCGUGUAGCCGGGUUGACAAGUCAGAUGUGAAAUCCUGCGGCUUAACCGCAGAACCGCAUUUGAAACUGUUGAUCUUGAGUACUGGAGAGGCAGACGGAAUUCCUAGUGUAGCGGUGAAAUGCGUAGAUAUUAGGAGGAACACCAGUGGCGAAGGCGGUCUGCUGGACAGCAACUGACGGUGAGGCGCGAAAGCGUGGGGAGCAAACAGG
rnacentral:rRNA from 1 species